UUGGUUUUUUUGUUUACAUAAGUAAGGAGGCCUAAGGUUGAAUUCUUUUCAUAAAUUUCUCUUAAAAUGUUUAUCUAGUUGUAGAAAAUAUUUUUGACAGUUGAAUUUUAAAUAAUGUUUUAGUCCUAAAUUGAGAACUAUAAUUUGAAAAUAAUUUUGUGUAAACAAUAUUUGACAUAUUUUUAAUGCUGAAUAUUUUUAUUGAUUUUUCCCAUAUAAGAACUUUUAUUUAUGCCAUCAAAUUUCAUUCUUUUAAGGAAAAAUAAUAAGUACAGUAUUGCUGGAUGUGAGAAUCAGAUUCCAAAUUAAUUUUAUUAAAAAUUUAAUUGAAUGAAAGCCCAACAGCAUUUCCUUAAUAAAAUACAACUGUAAGAGUCUCUUAACUCUAGGGAACAAACUGAGGGUUGCUGGAGGGGAGAUGGGUGAGGGGAUGAGGUAACUGGGUGAUGGGCAUUAAGAAGAGCACUUGAUGGAAUGAGCACUGGGUGUUAUUAUGUAACUGAUGAAUCUCUAAAUUCUACCCCUGAAGCUAGUAAUACGCUAUAUGUUAACCAACUUGAAAUUAAAUAAAAUCUAAAAAAAAAAUACAAGUAUUUCAUGUUUAGUGAUCUUUUCUUCUGUUCUUCAUUAACUUACCUCUGUAGAUGUUUUGUGUUUUAAUUAUAGUCUGCCCGUGGUAUUGGAAUGAAUGGAAAUAACACAGCAGCAGGGAAAAGAGUAGGAGAAUGUACUCAUCACCUCCCACCUGUGAAUGCCCCUAUUCAAACAAAGAAGAAAGCAACAAAGCAUUGUUUCCUUUGUGGGAAGAAAACUGGACUGGCUACUAGCUACGAAUGCAGAUGUGGAAACAACUUCUGUGCAUCUCAUCGCUAUGCAGAAACUCACAGCUGCACCUAUGAUUACAAGAGUGCAGGGAGGAGAUACUUACAGGAGGCAAAUCCUGUGGUUAACGCACCCAAACUUCCAAAAAUCUAGCUCUUGCUCUGCGCCUAGGAAUUGUAUUACAAUGACAGAAGAAGUAUUGUUCAGACUGCAUUAUUUUUGUUCGACUCCAAAAGAUUUGCCAAAUGACAAAAGCAUACAAUGCAUACUGUUGGAGAAAGUAUACUACUGUAUUUGA
rnacentral:lncRNA from 1 species